UAUAAAAAUUUUCAUUUAUUUCUACUGUUAAAAACUAGCAUGUUUGAAGGAAUUAACUAGACAAUUAUAUGUGGUGUGCCACCCCUACCUUAUUCUGAUAUGCAGGGACCAGUUUUUAGUAGAAGAAAUGGAUGAAAUUUUUAGCA
rfam:Gossypium hirsutum cultivar TM-1 chromosome 1, whole genome shotgun sequence